rfam:Triticum urartu cultivar G1812 contig199115, whole genome shotgun sequence.
CAAAUACUCCCUCCGUCCGGAAAUACUCGUCAUCAGAAUGGAUAAAACUCGUCAUCAGAAUGGAUAAAAGAGGAUGUAUCUAGAUGUAUUUUAGUUCUAGAUACAUCUCUUUUUAUCUAUUUUGAUGACAAGUAUUUUCGGACGGAGGGAGUACGAA